UACGAGGGGGGCGAGCGUUGUUCGGAAUUAUUGGGCGUAAAGGGGGCGUAGGCGGUUUGGUAAGUCUUGUGUGAAAUCUCCAGGCUCAACUUGGAGUCUGCACGAGAAACUGCCGGGCUUGAGUGUGGGAGAGGUGAGUGGAAUUCCUGGUGUAGCGGUGAAAUGCGUAGAGAUCCGGAGGAACACCAAAGGCGAAGGCAGUGUCCUGGGGAGUACCUGACGCUCAGGUGCGAAAGCCAGGGGAGCGAACGGG
rnacentral:rRNA from 1 species